rnacentral:rRNA from 1 species
AUUGAACGCUGGCGGCAGGCUUAACACAUGCAAGUCGAGCGGGGUGAUGGUGCUUGCACUAUCACUUAGCGGCGGACGGGUGAGUAAUGCUUAGGAAUCUGCCUAUUAGUGGGGGACAACAUCUCGAAAGGGAUGCUAAUACCGCAUACGUCCUACGGGAGAAAGCAGGGGAUCACUUGUGACCUUGCGCUAAUAGAUGAGCCUAAGUCGGAUUAGCUAGUUGGUGGGGUAAAGGCCUACCAAGGCGACGAUCUGUAGCGGGUCUGAGAGGAUGAUCCGCCACACUGGAGCUAGGGCACGGCACAGACUCCUACGGGAGGUAGCAGUGGGGAAUAUUGGACAAUGGGGGGAUCCCUGAUCCAGCCAUGCCGCGUGUGUGAAGAAGGCCUUAUGGUUGUAAAGCACUUUAAGCGAGGAGGAGGCUCUUGUGGUUAAUACCCAAGAUGAGUGGACGUUACUCGCAGAAUAAGCACCGGCUAACUCUGUGCCAGCCGCCGCUGUAACAC